rnacentral:rRNA from 1 species
CCCUGAGUACAGUGGCGUACGGGUGAGUAACACGUGGGGUAAUCUACCUCUUAGUGGGGGAUAUCUCUGGGAAACCGGAGUUAAUACCGCAUAAGUUCGAGAGAAGAAAGCAGCAAUGCGCUGGAAGAGGGGGUCGCGGCUGAUUAGCCAGUUGGCGGGGUAACGGCCCACCAAAGCGAAGAUCGGUAGCCGGCCUGAGAGGGCGCACGGCCACACUGGAACUGAAACACGGUCCAG